rnacentral:ncRNA from 1 species
GGCAUUGAGUGUCAGCGUCAAGCCCUCGGUCGCUGACCGGCAACCCUGCCACGCGGUGGGCUGCUCCAGGUGGAAGUCGGUGCGAUGCAGCGGAUCGCGGUGA